rnacentral:rRNA from 1 species
UACGUAGGGACCAAGCGUUGUUCGGAUUUACUGGGCGUAAAGGGCGCGUAGGCGGCUUGACAAGUCACUUGUGAAAUCUCCGGGCUUAACUCGGAACGGCCAAGUGAAACUGUCAUGCUAGAGUGCAGAAGGGGCAAUCGGAAUUCUUGGUGUAGCGGUGAAAUGCGUAGAUAUACAAGGAGGAACACCUGAGGUGAAGACGGGUUGCUGGGCUGACACUGACGCUGAGGCGCGAAAGCCAGGGGAGCAAACGGG